UGUUUCGGCUAGGGGGCCAUCCCGGCUUACCAACCCGAUGCAAACUGCGAAUACCGGAGAAUGUUAUCACGGGAGACACACGGCGGGUGCUAACGUCCGUCGUGAAGAGGGAAACAACCCAGACCGCCAGCUAAGGUCCCAAAGUCAUGGUUAAGUGGGAAACGAUGUGGGAAGGCCCAGACAGCCAGGAUGUUGGCUUAGAAGCAGCCAUCAUUUAAAGAAAGCGUAAUAGCUCACUGGUCGAGUCGGCCUGCGCGGAAGAUGUAACGGGGCUAAACCAUGCACCGAAGCUGCGGCAGCGAACGUAUCACUUAAAGCGAUUCAGCGGGUUACGAUUGACGGAGCGAAGCGACGUCAAAGCGUAUACAAAGUCGAGUCGGUUUAAGGAUACGUUCGUUGGGUAGGGGAGCGUUCUGUAAGCCUGUGAAGGUGGCCUGUGAGGGUUGCUGGAGGUAUCAGAAGUGCGAAUGCUGACAUAAGUAACGAUAAAGCGGGUGAAAAGCCCGCUCGCCGGAAGACCAAGGGUUCCUGUCCAACGUUAAUCGGGGCAGGGUGAGUCGACCCCUAAGGCGAGGCCGAAAGGCGUAGUCGAUGGGAAACGGGUUAAUAUUCCCGUACUUGGUGUUACUGCGAAGGGGGGACGGAGAAGGCUAUGUUGGCCGGGCGACGGUUGUCCCGGUUUAAGCGUGUAGGCUGGUUUUCCAGGCAAAUCCGGAAAAUCAAGGCUGAGGCGUGACGACGAGGCACUACGGUGCUGAAGCAACAAAUGCCCUGCUUCCAGGAAAAGCCUCUAAGCAUCAGGUAACAUCAAAUCGUACCCCAAACCGACACAGGUGGUCAGGUAGAGAAUACCAAGGCGCUUGAGAGAACUCGGGUGAAGGAACUAGGCAAAAUGGUGCCGUAACUUCGGGAGAAGGCACGCUGACACGUAGGUGAAGUGAUUUACUCAUGGAGCUGAAGUCAGUCGAAGAUACCAGCUGGCUGCAACUGUUUAUUAAAAACACAGCACUGUGCAAACACGAAAGUGGACGUAUACGGUGUGACGCCUGCCCGGUGCCGGAAGGUUAAUUGAUGGGGUCAGCGCAAGCGAAGCUCCUGAUCGAAGCCCCGGUAAACGGCGGCCGUAACUAUAACGGUCCUAAGGUAGCGAAAUUCCUUGUCGGGUAAGUUCCGACCUGCACGAAUGGCGUAAUGAUGGCCAGGCUGUCUCCACCCGAGACUCAGUGAAAUUGAACUCGCUGUGAAGAUGCAGUGUACCCGCGGCAAGACGGAAAGACCCCGUGAACCUUUACUAUAGCUUGACACUGAACAUUGAGCCUUGAUGUGUAGGAUAGGUGGGAGGCUUUGAAGUGUGGACGCCAGUCUGCAUGGAGCCGACCUUGAAAUACCACCCUUUAAUGUUU
rnacentral:rRNA from 1 species